UGUUUCGGCUAGGGGGUCAUCCCGACUUACCAACCCGAUGCAAACUACGAAUACCGAAGAAUGUUAUCACGGGAGACACACGGCGGGUGCUAACGUCCGUCGUGAAGAGGGAAACAACCCAGACCGCCAGCUAAGGUCCCAAAGUCACAGUUAAGUGGGAAACGAUGUGGGAAGGCACAGACAGCCAGGAUGUUGGCUUAGAAGCAGCCAUCAUUUAAAGAAAGCGUAAUAGCUCACUGGUCGAGUCGGCCUGCGCGGAAGAUGUAACGGGGCUAAACUGUGCACCGAAGCUGCGGCAGCGACACUAUGUGUUGUUGGGUAGGGGAGCGUUCUGUAAGCCUGCGAAGGUGGCCUGUGAGGGUUGCUGGAGGUAUCAGAAGUGCGAAUGCUGACAUAAGUAACGAUAAUGCGGGUGAAAAGCCCGCACGCCGGAAGACCAAGGGUUCCUGUCCAACGUUAAUCGGGGC
rnacentral:rRNA from 1 species